UACGGGGGGGGCAAGCGUUGUUCGGAAUUACUGGGCGUAAAGGGCGCGUAGGCGGUGCUCUAAGUUAGAUGUGAAAACUCUGGGCUCAACCCAGAGCCUGCAUCUAAAACUGGAGUGCUAGAGUUCUGGAGGGGGUAGCGGAAUUCCUGGUGUAGCGGUGAAAUGCGCAGAUAUCGGGAGGAACACCAAUUGCGAAGGCAGCUCGCUGGGACGUCACUGACGCUGAGACGCGAAAGCGUGGGGAGCAAACAGG
rnacentral:rRNA from 1 species